rnacentral:rRNA from 1 species
GAUGAACGCUGGCGGCAGGCCUAACACAUGCAAGUCGAGGGGUAGAGGAAGCUUGCUUCCUUGAGACCGGCGCACGGGUGCGUAACGCGUAUGCAAUCUACCUUUUACAGAGGGAUAGCCCAGAGAAAUUUGGAUUAAUACCUCAUAGUAUAUAUCAUCCGCCUGGUUGAUAUACUAAAGUUCCAACGGAAAAAGAUGAGCAUGCGUCCCAUUAGUUAGUUGGUAAGGUAACGGCUUACCAAGACGGGGAUGGGUAGGGGUCCUGAGAGGGAGAUCCCCCACACUGGUACUGAGACACGGACCAGACUCCUACGGGAGGCAGCAGUGAGGAAUAUUGGUCAAUGGACGCAAGUCUGAACCAGCCAUGCCGCGUGCAGGAAGACGGUCCUAUGGAUUGUAAACUGCUUUUGUACGGGAAGAAACACUCCUACGUGUAGGAGCCUGACGGUACCGUAAGAAUAAGGAUCGGCUAACUCCGUGCCAGCAGCCGCCGUAAUAC